GAUGAACGCUAGCUACAGGCUUAACACAUGCAAGUCGAGGGACCGGCGCACGGGUGAGUAACACGUAUCCAACCUGCCCUUUACUCGGGGAUAGCCUUUCGCAAGAAAGAUUAAUACCCGAUAUAAAGGAUGGGGAUGCGUUCCAUUAGGUGGUUGGUGAGGUAACGGCCCACCAAGCCUUCGAUGGAUAGGGGUUCUGAGAGGAAGGUCCCCCACAUUGGAACUGAGACACGGUCCAAACUCCUACAGGAGGAAGUAUGGAGGAAUAUUGGUCAAUGGGCGGUAGCCUGAACCAGCCAAGUAGCGUGAAGGAUGAAUGCUUAUGGGUCAUAAACUUCUUUUAGAUAAUAAUAUGUAUUAUAUGAAUAAGGAUCGGCUAACUCCGUGCCAGCAGCCGCGGUAAUAC
rnacentral:rRNA from 1 species